rnacentral:rRNA from 1 species
AUUGAACGCUGGCGGCAGGCUUAACACAUGCAAGUCGAACGAGUGGCGGACGGGUGAGUAAUGCUUGGGAAUCUGGCUUAUGGAGGGGGAUAACGACGGGAACCUGUCGCUAAUACCGCGUACCAUAGGAUGAGCCCAGGUGGGAUUAGGUAGUUGGUGGGGUAAUGGCCUACCAAGGCGACGAUCACUAGCUGGUCUGAGAGGAUGACCAGCCACACGGGAACGGAGACACGGUCCAGACUCCUACGUGAGGCAGCAGUGGGGAAUAUUGCGCAAUGGGUGCAAGCUGAUGCAGCCAUGCCGCGUGAAUGAAGAAGGCCUUCGGGUUGUAAAGUUCUUUCGGUGAGGAGGCGUUAAUCACAGAAGAAGCACCGGCUAACUCCGUGCCAGCAGCCGCGGUAAUAC